rnacentral:rRNA from 1 species
UACAGAGGUCCCGAGCGUUGUUCGGAUUCACUGGGCGUAAAGGGUGCGUAGGUGGCUGGGAAAGUUUGAUGUGAAAGCUCAGGGCUUAACCCUGAAAUGGCAUUGAAUACUACUUAGCUGGAGGUUUGGAGGGGGGACUGGAAUUCUUGGUGUAGCAGUGAAAUGCGUAGAUAUCAAGUGGAACACCAGUGGCGAAGGCGAAUCCCUGGAAAAUACCUGACACUGAGGCACGAAAGCUAGGGGAGCAAACAGG